UGGGGAAUAUUGCACAAUGGGCGCAAGCCUGAUGCAGCCAUGCCGCGUGUGUGAAGAAGGCCUUCGGGUCGUAAAGCACUUUCAGCGAGGAGGAAGGUGGUGAGCUUAAUACGCUCAUCAAUUGACGUUACUCGCAGAAGAAGCACCGGCUAACUCCGUGCCAGCAGCCGCGGUAAUACGGAGGGUGCAAGCGUUAAUCGGAAUUACUGGGCGUAAAGCGCACGCAGGCGGUUUGUUAAGUCAGAUGUGAAAUCCCCGGGCUCAACCUGGGAACUGCAUUUGAAACUGGCAAGCUAGAGUCUCGUAGAGGGGGGUAGAAUUCCAGGUGUAGCGGUGAAAUGCGUAGAGAUCUGGAGGAAUACCGGUGGCGAAGGCGGCCCCCCUGGACGAAGACUGACGCUCAGGUGCGAAAGCGUGGGGAGCAAACAGAUUAGAUACCCUGGUAGUCCACGCUGUAAACGAUGUCGAUUUGGAGGUUGUGCCCCUUGAGGCGUGGNUUCCGGAGCUAACGCGUUAAAUCGACCGCC
rnacentral:rRNA from 1 species